UGCAUACACAGUAGUUCUAGAGCCGGGCUACUUCCUCAUCCAGGCCUCGGUAGAGAUAAGGAGAAGCCUUUUGAAACAGAAUAAGCUGCUGCUCAUGACUGACUGCUCAGAUCAGUGUUCCAGCUGAAAGAAGUGUGGACAGAAUAAUGAUGCGAACGUGGAAAGUUAUGAAAGUUCCUAUGGUUCAUAAAGGAGAUAGAAAAGGAAGCAUGAAGAAACCUCUUUGUCAUUGGACAACACACCCCUUGACAUGAAGGGUCAGAUCUCUCCAACCCUCUCAGCUGUACAGCUGGGGAAGCAAGAAUGGAUAAGUUCUCUGAUAUUUUUGAAGCUGGCAUGAUUACCACUCCUUCCAGCUUGAAGACAACAGCAAGAUCAUUUUGGAUAAGACACCCUCGAUCUCUUUUUAAUAAUGCAUUUACCCGGGUGAUGUUCCGAGGUCAGCCAGUAGCCUCGUUUGUACAAGCAUCAGAGUUUACGAGUCCACAGCCCUUAAUUGCUGUGAACGUAGCAUUACAAGUGGGAAAAUACAAGAAUGAAGGGGAAUAGUAUUUCACUCCAGGUCUGACCAAUCCAAUGACUGCAACAGAACCGCUGUGCAUUCCUCACUUUCAGAAAACAGCCGUCACAUUUAGGUGCCUAAAUAUAGGCUUAGAAGCAUAACUGUUGACAUUCAUUAUUAAAAAUCUUGGCUGUACACCUUUGUCUGUAACAAGUGGCUGGAUCGCUUUCUGACAUAUGUAAACUUGAUACAUGAAACCUGACAAUACAAGAUGUGAAGCAUAACAGCAGGUUCAGAUACAUUACUAGGUACUUAUUUUAAUUUUUUUUUGAAAUGUGAGAAGAAAAAAACCUUUUCACUGAUUCACUGGGAAAAAAAAAAUUUGUUUUUAUAUUUCCUGUGAAACAGGUACACUUGGAGAUUGAAAGUUUGCUGGUGGAACACAAAAUAAUCUGCUUCAUCUAAAUAAUUUUUCCAAAUUGCUUAGGGUUAGGGUAGAAAAACAUUGUGUAGAGAAAUCCUAAUCAGCCUUAGUGAUACCGGACCAUGAAGGUUUAUUAGAGCCCUGUGAGCAGCCGUGAAGAGCCAAGGCAUUGCGUUUCUUGUAUUCCUUCCAUUUCUACUAAGUCCUGCAGGCUUUCAGCUGGAGCACUGGGGACCUUGGCCACCUGGUCCUGCCUGCCACACUCCUGCAGAACGGACGUUCAAGGAAUGAAGCGGGACCAUUUUACGAUCUCUCACUCUUGGACGAUUCUAGGCGGAACAAAUCAGAGCCGUCUUGAGGCUGCUCCAAGUGCUGCGCUGCACGGCUGAUCCUUAGCAAUCCUCACCAAAUCCAAGAGGUGGAAAGCCACACUGAAUCUUCUUAUUUCCAUUGGCACACGGCACAUGUUCACACGUGUUUGGCCUCAAGAACAGACUUCUUUUUUUUUUUUUUUAAGUAGAGUUUUCAAAAUAAUCAUCAGAAGAUUAGAUGUCUUCCUUGUAAGUUUUUCUUUACUAUUUAUAAUGAUGACUGGAAAGAAUGCAACUUAAUAACUUCACUUAAAACCCCACAACCUUCUAUUUUUAGAUAAGAAAAUUAACUUUUCACAUUCCUAAGAAGUGACUCCAUGGAACAGAGAGUUUAUAUUCAAUAAAGAGGGUCGGAAUUAAGACAUUUUUUGUUCGAUACGUUGUUAGGAGAGUGCUGCUCUAUUUAUGGUUCAUUUUUACUCCGUUUACAUUCCAGUGCCUGCUGAAAAACAUAUUCACAUUCUAGGGGAUGUCUAGAAAAAGAUUUUAUCGUUUCAUUUUAUAAUUUACAAAGACCACUCUAGUGAACUUUGCUGUAAUUCAUUUAAAUGUGACGGGUCUGUGACCUCUUACAGAAGGUCAAAAAUGUGUAAAGUCACCAUGAGAGGAUAAUGUCCUCAGCUCCUGUGCCCACAGUUAGCAAGUGAAACAGGAACAGCGGAGAGAGUGGUAAUGCUCCAUGCACAUUCUCCUCACCAUACCUGGAAUUACGUAGCUGGACUAAAACAUUUGGCUUUAGUGGAUCAUUGUGCGAGUACUCCCAUUGUGGAUGUCGAUGUCCCAAGUGGUUCAGUUGGAGCAUUUUUUGCUUAGUGCCUGCGGAUAAACUCCGACCCUCCCCUUCCCUGCGAGGCCAUAAAAGGACAGUGCCUGCUGUCUGACCCGCAUUUCCUCUCAGCUGCUUGACGGAGCUGUCUGGCCUUUCACACUAAUGAAUAUUCACAUCAUCAGUAUGACUUUUUUUUCUCACAGCCACUUCUCUUUUUUAUCCUCCUGCUUCAUUUUGCUGUUUCAUCCUCUUUCAUUAGAUAAAUCUUUCCUAUUUUGUGCGAUGGAAUAAGAGGCAUCCUAGCCUUCACACGCAUUCCAUCUCCUCAUCCUUUUCUUCUCCCAUCCUAACAUUAGUAGUUUUGAUUCUUUUCUUACAUUAUUUUCUACAUAGCAUUUAAGCAUUUUCAUGCCUCAAAUCCUUGCAGAAGGUCUCUGAUGAAUAUUAAUCUAGCCCUGCAUUUCUUACUGACCUCUGCCUCAUGUUCUAGAGCUGCAGGAGAUGCAGCUCCACUGAUGCCAGUGCAACAUGCAGCACCAAAUCUUCUAUUUCAUGAAGGAUCUGAUGGUGGAAGAAGACCUCAUCUCUCUGUGUCUCCUGAGGGAAGCUCUGGAGUCUUCUCACUCGGUUUGACACAGCACUAUUAUCCCUGCCAGUGGCCCCAUUCCAGAGCCCAUAAAAUCUUAGUGGUCAACUACUGCCUUUUUUUAACUCCACGAUGAGUUAAGAAAUUGCCUCUGGUGACACAGUGACAUCUGAUUACAUUCACUGCCAACUAACGGUGCUCCCCACGUUGCCACCACUGCAGCAGAAAGGUCCAAAAAUUGUUCUGAAAGGUAGAAAGCCCUGAGAAACAAAGGUAUUCUUCUAUCUCCUUUGAGAAGUGACAACUACUGUCUUUUCUUGUGAUGUCAGCACAUUGGAUAGUCUGAAUCUUUCAAAUGGAACAUAGAAUGAUCAUUAAUCAUCUAAUUAAGCAGUUCCAUCUUUGCUUUCCCACUCAGUCAUGUUUUUAAAUUGUUUUGUGAAUGGGACCGUUCUGCGAAGCAUUUGGCACAUUGCACCGCAGACAGCACACGCACCACCGCUCCGACACACAGAUUACACAGAUGUCAAGCAGCAAUCUGUCCCGUCUCCGAAAUACAAACGCAGGAAUCUAAGAAAAGGCCUCACAUCAAGCAACUAAAUUGCUGUGGCUUUUCAAAGCCGAAGAAAUAAAGCAAACUGCAGGAAGGCUGAUUGAUGCAGACCUUGAGAUGGAGGCACAAGGCAGAGCUGACGCCCCCUCUGCUCUGAACUAACAAUUACACUCUAUGGAGAUUGCUUGGUACGGUAAUGACUGCACCUUUAAGGAGACCUAAUCCUACUGUCAAAACGUCAGUGGUUUUGACUCGUUCCAUUCAUUACAAAAUUAAACAAAAAUACCUUUGAUCAAACCCAGCAAAUAUGAAUUUAAAAAAUAUCAUUUUGAUACAUAUUUUCAUGACUGAGAAAUGCUAUGGUGUGAAAAGCCAAUGACCACUAUGUAAAACUAGAGACAACAAUUUAAGCUUGUUUAUUUUGUUGACAGCUAGGAUCUAAGAAAUUUUUGGGGGGUCAAAGAUAAAACCAGCUGGAAAAUGGAAUUUCUAUUUCAAGAAAAUUUCUCUAAUUUUGACAAAGUAAUUAUGAAGAAUAAAACACAGAAUAAAAUGUUGACACUUUUAUCAAAUGAAACUUAUAAAUGUUUUGGUUUGGAUUUUCCUGAUAUUUAAUUUUGAUGGGGCCAAACCAGCUCAUUGACUUUAUUGCCUGAAUUGUCUUUCAACUCUUCUAUUGUACUGAAAGAAUAUUUGAACAUAUACAAAAUUUUAAACUGGAUACUUUUACAAAAAUCUUUAGUAUGCAGUAAAGUGCAGAAAACCAAUCUACAUGACAUGGUAACUUUUAGACAUCUCAGCACAGAUAAUUAAUCCAAUCUCAUUCCCAGGUAAGAUUUCUAUCUUUGGCAGGACUGCAUCAUUUAAAAUGGAAAAAUACCAAAAAAACCCAUCAGCUUGAUUCAUAACCUUCUCUGCUUCACUCCCUACCAGGCAAAGGCAAAGCGUCCUGAAAAAGCUCACAGGACAAAGCAACUGUGUUUAUAAUGGAGUAAAUGAAAUCGAGUGCAAAGGUUGCACAGCAGCUGUAAACUCCAAAGCUCGGUCACCAUGUGAUUUUCAGACUAUCAUCUGGAAAACUGAAUUCUACUGCUCAGCUGCAAGAGUUUGUGACAGUCAUGUCCAACUGCAUCACUGGAUGUGAUUGUUAUCACGUGUUAGAAAAUGACCAAGAUUUGUCUACAAAGGAAAAAAGUCUCAAUUGCUAUGAACUGAGGAACCCUAUUUUAGAACUGAGGAACUAAAUAUAAAAGGUACGUGACUGCAACAAGAACUCAUGAGGAAGCUCUUGGUUGUCAGAGUGCAAAGUGAAGGUCGACUGUCCAACCUCCUCCUGUCUCCACUGAACACGGGUAUUGCAACAGUGAUGCACCACUACAUUAAUCAACAGUCCCUUAGGUAUUGGCUCAAAGCUGGAGUAACAGAGCACUGAGCCAGAAAACACAAAUUUAAAAGCAUAACAUAAAAGCAAGAGGUUGUCUGGUGAGUGAUGAACCGAGGCUUUUACUGACAAGAGAACCUGUUCACUUCUCUUCUGCUUCACCAUCUCUUCCCUGCCAACUUAUUUCUCUCAUCUAUCAGUCCUGUCCUCUCACAACCUAAACUCUAAGGCAGGACUGUUCCUCUAAGAGGCAUUUACAACGUACUUGAAGGAGAUAUAAAACCUGAUACGCAGUACCAAGGUCCUACGCAGUAUUUUUGGCAGCAGACAUUUACAAAACAAUUAAAUAUCACUACCUCCAUUUCCUAGAUGAGGAAACUGCAACCUUCAAAACAGAAGUGAUGAAAAUCAUCAACAAUUGAAAUCCUUUACUAGUUUUUGGCCACAGGAAACACUCUUUACUCCUUUACAUUGGUACCGAUGCAUAGCACUACAGCAAAGCCAAUGCAGUAAAAACCAGGAGCACUGGCUUCCUUAGGCUGAUGUGCAGAAAGUAUUUCACAAAACAAGAAAUGCUUCUUAUGAAAAGACUAAUAUUUCUUACUUUAAGCUGAUGGUUUGGUCCAAAACACUAAGUCAUUCAUUCUUCUCUCCUCAAAAUGAAGACUAGAAAGGAUUCAAGAAGUCCAAAGCAGAACAGAUUUGAACAAAAGGAAUACAGCUUCUGUUCAAAACAGGUCUUGUCUUUUUCCUGUCCUCUUCAUUGUAUCAAUCAACUUGUAUCUUUCAUUAUUAAGGCUCUUGCGUGGUUCCUCCUGACAAAGGUCUUCCUCCUACCCUGCUGUCCUUGCAUUACCAUGGAUGAGAGCAUGUUGUCCCUCGCAAGAAUACGCAAAACAUGAAUUAUUUCUUACCUUACAGUGCACUUGUAGAUAAUAUAAAACAUAUGUCACUGUCUUGGUAACGCAUUCUUGUUGAUUAAUUAAACACUUCUUUCCCAUCACAUGUCACGAAACACAGACUGUCUGCUUUCUGUUUUUAUUUUCACUUACAAAGUUGUCAAAGACUCUAGCAACAUGCCCGCUGGGGCUGAAAACCUUGUAGCAGAGAGAAAACUAAAGCAGUGGUCUUCUUAGUGCUGCUACCUAUGGAACACCUAUGGGAAGUGUAUGGUACGCAAUGGUAAAAGCAAUCAACAUUCUCAUUUUCAAAGCCUCUGUGCCAUUGUUUCCACCCAUAGUUUUCAUUCUGAUUUACAGAAGAGGAGAAAGGGAAGAAGGCACAAGUGAAAUCUGCAUGGAUUCCAUGUUUCACAGCCUUUAUGCCUGGAUGCACAUAUACAUGUUUCCAUACUUGCUUUACUCUUUAAGACCCCUUUAAAAGAAAACUGAUUGUGAAGCAGGCAUCUCCUGUGGGAUCAGGAAGGGAGUUUCUUCUACAAAGGGCGUUCCUUGUAUUGAGUAGUAUGUAAAAAAAAGCACAGAAACAAAGAAAAAGAAA